ensembl:lincRNA Gm26583 predicted gene, 26583
AGUCACCCACGCGCAGGCCUCGGGCACAGGGUCACUGGCUCAGAGAAGUUAAGAACCGCUGUUUCGGAUGGAACUCAGAUAACCGGGCGUGGAAACUCCACUUCCAUUGCCUUCUCUGCAGGAAGAAUCCACUGGGACUCAACUAGAAAAGGGACUGUGGCAUGGACCGUGAGUCCUCUUGUCGCUCCCUCUCCUGGGCCUUGUGGGGAUCCUUAAGGCUGGCUUGGUACUGCCUGCCAAACAGAUAGCUCAUUUCUUUGAGGGCCCACACCUGAACUAUGUAUGAGUCAGGCGGAAGAGAGGCAUCUGCUCUCUGGUCCACAGUCCAUAGUGGUCCUUACUCAGCUGCCCAUGACCACCUAGUAUAGAGCAAGACAGUUCUCGCCCUCCCCUCUAAGAAUUUCUCUUUCAGACCUCAGUCCCCACUCAGAAAUCAGGAUCUCACGCUAGUAUUUCAAGUUGGGAUUUCAUACAAGGAGUUGGCAACAACGGGCAGAGGCAAGUGGGCGGAGCUGUACUGUCCAGAAAGCCAGAAUAUCUGUGCUCGUCCUGGAUUCUUUUAGACACCAGGAUAUCACAGAACGACAGCAAGUGGCUGGGGAUGACGGGCUUCCCCUGGAUGAGAAGAGACUCCCUACUUACUCAGUGCAGAGGGGCUGAGCAUGCCCAAGGUGAGCUGAUGGGCAUCCAACCAGCUCCUUGCCAUACCCAACCAGAUCCUUACCCCUUGGGCACGACUUGUCAUCUAUCUCUUGAGUCUCUAACCUUGACAUGAAGUUUGUGCUGACAGCAGGCAUGGACGAACAGUAUCCCCCAGAACAGAGUUAAGUGGUCCUUCACUAACAGCUGGUAGGUACUCUCAAAGGCCUGGACCCUCUAGGGAUGGAAGCACUACCUUGCUGAUCCCUGUAAAUAGAGCAUGGAGCCUUUUAAUGUGAACAGCUGGAGGUCACAAGGUCUGAGGGGAGGGGGAGGGGAGCCCUGCCCGAGCCAGGGACCUUGGAGACAAGAUGAGAGGCAGCAUGACAUCAUCGGAUCACUGUCAGCCCAGAAAAGAUUGGAGCCAUCGAUUCUUAGUACACUAUGGUGCCCCUAAGAGAGGGGCAAAAACUGGAAGAAAGGGAGGGCUAAGGUGAGGUUUCAGAGAACCUGAGAGAUAGGUGGUCAAGUGGGACUGGCCAGGCAGGGACAAUAAAUAGGCUAGAGGUGGCAGCAUAAGUCCCUUGGCCUCCCAUAGACUACACUACACUGAAAUAGACCUGAGAAUGCAGCCGGAUGGGUUGUGGACUGAAGCAGAGCUGGUGGUCUCCACACGGUAGAGCACACAGUAUGCCAGGAGGUGAAGCUGGCUGCCCAUGUGACAACUGUGAGCCAGAAGAGCCAGGUUUCCUUACAGUGUCUUUACAGUUCCGGUCUGAAAUAAUCCCCUAUAACAGCCCAAACUAGAGUCGCUGUCAGCUCUCCUGAAGCUGCACACACUGCUCCAGACAACUAUCUCAGGGUGACAGUGCCAUUCAGAGUGGCUCAGCCCGACCCUUCAUGAAGUGUUAAUUGGCUACCACUGCUCACCCUUCUCAUGUCACAGGGUGUCCACACCCCUAGAGCCCUGUUCUCUCCUCCAUGCAGACCACAGCCAGUCCUCAUCACAGGGCCCUGUCCAAAGAACAGUGGCCUCAUCAGAACCAGGAGCCAGAGCCACUGGCCUCUCUGGCCUCUCUCCCUAGACACCCCCCACCCCCACCCCCCAGCUCUUGGCACUUGAAUCUGGGCUUCCACUAGAAGCCUCUAUAUCAUCUGCUAGCCUGGGCUACUCAUGGUGCUGGGAUGGGAUUGAAAGCCCAAGAUGGCAGGGGCUACAAGGAAAAAUGAACCCUUGCUUUGCCUAGGAGCUGGGGGGUGGGGAGGGGCUCUGGGGCCAUCUCUUUCUGGGAGGUCUCAGCAUGAGUCACCCCUUCAGGUCCAGGCACAAAUGCAGGAAACUGCCAUUCUAUGGAACUAUUUUCUCUCACAGAGGGAAAGCCCGUCACACACAGGCAUUGUUCACGGCCAGUGCUUUCCGGGUGGGCUCCUGCAGAAACCAGCAGGCUAGCACUCUGGGCUGAACUGCUUCCCUUUGAGACCCAGGGGCGCCUGGAGGUUAAGAAUGUGGGGCCUUGGUCCAGCCACCAGCUUGAGGUAACAGGAGCUCAUACAUGCGGAGGGUGCCCUGUGGGGUGGGGGAUAGAUCACCUAGGCCAUUUUGCUGCUUACACACAGGAGUGAAGCUCAGGAAUGAAGGAGAAGCAGGAGCUGUCUGUCCCCACACUAUGCCAUUUGUCCAGCAGCAGCCUGCUGCAGAAAGUCUUGCAGAUCCCAGCCCUCUGUUCACUUUGGCUCCGAGUCAUCCCAGGCCUUGUGACAAGGGGUAACCCAGUAAUGGCUGUGGGGUGGGGACCUUAACGUGGAGAGGGGCAGAGUUAGAGUGGUGUCAACCUGUCCCUCUGGUGACUCACCUGUGACUGAGAUACUUACAAAUUGCAGAAGACCUCAUAGAAAGUUGGGGAUGCUGGCGCCCCCUGUCAACACCCUUAUAGCAGUGCAGGAUGGUGAGCCAGGUGGGCUGGUCCCUUGCCCUAGCACCUCUCUUCUGCCUGGGCAUGCUCCAGAGUGUCUGGGCACCCCAGCAGGGUAAGGGGAACCCCUAUUUUCACUUCUCUGAGCUUCAUGUAAGGCCCAGAUCCUGGCCACCUGUCUACAAUAUCCACACCACAGAGGUCCGCCUGGAGACUCUGACACUGGCCAGGAAGACCCCAGACCUGCUUCUGCUGCAGGUUAAAGAUGUCAGUAGCACAAACAGCUCAUGUUCAUUCUCCCCACCACACAGACUUGGCCUAACUCGUGUAGGCACUAUGUGUGCACCCGUACACUCUCAGACCCCUCUGGGCUCACCAGACUUCCUUAGACAGAACAGCGUUGACGAGGGCAGGUGAGAACUGUCCCCAGCCGGAUAAUGUGCAGGGAGACCUGGGGCUCCUGGUUCCAGAGUCCACAACACAGCUGUCUCCUGGAGACCCAGAGUCUACUGUGACAUGUGGGGAGAUCAACUCACAGAAACAGGUGGCCAACUGGAGGGAGUGCCGAAAGCAGGACCUGUCCUGUGUACUGGAGGGGCCUGAAAGGGACCCUGGGGGCAGCAGCAUGGGUUAGAAGACUAGACAUGUGGGGAAAGAUUCACCAAGAGAGGUAGCCCUAAGGAGUGGCCCAGAGCAGGGUGCUUGCCCAAUGAGAGCCUUCUAGAACACACUAGGAGGGAUAAGAGCAGCUAUGGUACCCUGGGGAUAUGACGGGGGAGGCCUCAGCAGCCUCAUCUUUCCACUUGGGAGUGGAGGAGACAGCUGAAGUGACACAGCCAAGGUGUCCAGGGUCCUCCUGCAGCCUGUUGCUCAGUCUCUUCCCUGCUGCCUCGUUUCUAUGUCUCCUGGGAUCCCCCUACCCACCAUCUUCUGCCUCACCUCUGACACAAAAUCCACCCUGCCACAUAAUAGCCACUGAUCUCUCAUGUCCUCGCAACAUCUCCAUGGCAGUAAAAUAUACCAAGUCAACGCCUGCCAUCUUAAGUGUUUCAGAAUGGUUCUUUUUAAUUGAAAAAGUAAUACAUGCCACAGCAAAAUUAAAAGCAGUGCUUUAUGUAUGCAAUAUAAAAAAAGAAAGAAAAGAAACAGCUGGCAACUGCUCCUGUA